UACGUAGGGAGCAAGCGUUGUCCGGAAUUACUGGGCGUAAAGGGUGCGUAGGCGGGAUGCCAAGUCAGCGGUAAAAAUGCGGUGCUCAACGCCGUCGAGCCGUUGAAACUGGCGUUCUUGAGUGGGCGAGAAGUAUGCGGAAUGCGUGGUGUAGCGGUGAAAUGCAUAGAUAUCACGCAGAACUCCGAUUGCGAAGGCAGCAUACCGGCGCCCUACUGACGCUGAGGCACGAAAGCGUGGGUAUCGAACAGG
rnacentral:rRNA from 1 species